AGAGUUUGAUCAUGGCUCAGGAUGAACGCUGGCGGCGUGCCUAACACAUGCAAGUCGAGCGAAGCACUUUGCUCUGAUUUCUUCGGAUUGAAGAGUGAUUUGACUGAGCGGCGGACGGGUGAGUAACGCGUGGGUAACCUGCCUCACACAGGGGGAUAACAGUUAGAAAUGACUGCUAAUACCGCAUAAGGCCACAGCACCGCAUGGUGCAGGGGUAAAAACUCCGGUGGUGUGAGAUGGGCCCGCGUCUGAUUAGUUAGUUGGCGGGGUAACGGCCCACCAAGACGACGAUCAGUAGCCGG
rnacentral:rRNA from 1 species